GAUAGAUUCCGUGUAGUCAAGGUGUAACGCUGCGGACUUGGUUUGGGGGCCCUUCGGGGAACUCCAGUCCGGGAGAAAAGUGUAAAGUCGGCCACUUGGGGAGUACGUCGCAAGGAUGAAACUAAAAGGAAUGGGCGGGGGAGCACCGCAACGGGAGGAGCGUGCGGUUUAAUUGGAUUCAACACCGGAAAACUCACCAAGGGCGACUGUUACAUGAAAGCCAGGCUAAUGACCUUGCUUGAUUUUCAGAGAGGUGGUGCAUGGCCGUCGUCAGUUCGUACCGUAAGGCGUUCUCUUAAGUGAGAUAACGAACGAGACCCUCACCGAUAAUUGCCAGUCCGAUCCCCGGAUCGGGCGCACAUUAUAGGGACCGCUGGCGCUAAGUCAGAGGAAGGAGAGGUCAACGGUAGGUCAGUAUGCCCCGAAUCUCUUGGGCUACACGCGCGCUACAAAGGGCAGGGACAAUGGGUUCCGACGCCGAGAGGCGGAGGCAAUCCCGAAACCCGUCCGUAGUUCGGAUUGAGGCUUGUAACUCAGCCUCAUGAAGCUGGAUUCCGUAGUAAUCGCGAAUCAAAAACUCGCGGUGAAUAUGCCCCUG
rnacentral:rRNA from 1 species